UUUAGAUCGAAAGAACUGACCAUGGGCUCCGAGUUUGAUACUGAAUCAGAGCUGCAGAGGGCACAUUCUUCCCCAGCCUGUAAGAGAUAGUGUCUUUGUAAAGAUUCAAAGGAUGGAAGAAAGGAACCUGGUACAUGAAGGAGAAAGGAAAGGUGGGAGGAAGAAUUGAGAAGAAGAAGAGUUAAUUUUAAGGCAUAAGGAGAAGUGAAGAGAGAAAAGAAGAAGACUUGCGGUGGAAGAAUUGAAGCUGUUUUGUUGUGGUGAAAUUAAGGAAGUUAAAAACGUGAAAGAGUAGGCAUAGGGAAGGACCAAUGGCCAAGUAAUGGUAUAUUUAAAACCAGCUUUGAGUGGGAGAUUCAAGUACACUUUCAUCAAGACUCUUUGGUCCAAGAGUCCUUGUAUUUUUAUUAUUUGUUUUCACCUUAUGAUAGAUUUUAUUUUAUUUUUUUAAUAUACUUUACCAUUCUUAUUUGUGACAAUUUUAGGGUCUAUAAUAUGAAAAUAUUUUUUGU